GACGAACGCUGGCGGCGUGCUUAACACAUGCAAGUCGAACGGUGAAGCGCCUUCCUUUUUGGUGGUGUGGAUGAGUGGCGAACGGGUGAGUAACACGUGAGUAACCUGCCCCCUUCUUCUGGAUAACCGCAUGAAAGUGUGGCUAAUACGGGAUAUUCUGGGUCUGUCGCAUUAUGGGUCUGGGAAAGAUAUUGUUUCGGUGGGGGAUGGGCUCGCGGCCUAUCAGCUUGUUGGUGGGGUGAUGGCCUACCAAGGCGGUGACGGGUAGCCGGCCUGAGAGGGUGGACGGUCACACUGGGACUGAGACACGGCCCAGACUCCUACGGGAGGCAGCAGUGGGGAAUAUUGCACAAUGGGCGCAAGCCUGAUGCAGCGACGCCGCGUGAGGGAUGGAGGCCUUCGGGUUGUGAACCUCUUUCGCCAGUGAAGCAGGCCUGCCUCGUUUGUGGGUGGGUUGACGGUAGCUGGAUAAGAAGCGCCGGCUAACUACGUG
rnacentral:rRNA from 1 species